UCCUAUCACGGACAUUUCUAAAUCUACAGGAGUAAAGUGUGAGGAUCUGAUUAUAAAAUCACCUAUAACCAAACCAAAAGCAAAAAGACCUAAAAAGAAGUGCAUAGAAUCCCAACCAAAGGAAGUCCGUCUGCUUAAAUGUGAGAGAUAUCAUAAUAUUGGGUACAAUUGUAAGAUAUACAAUGCCCCAAUAGCUGAAGAAUAAGUAUAUCUUGAAGUCUGUUUGUAUAUAUUCUAUUGAGACUCAAUGUACAGAGAAGAUGAAGUUAUAAAAGUUAGUUUUUAAUGAAGUUAAUUGAUUUUUUUUAUUUAUUUUAAAUUUACUCU
rnacentral:lncRNA from 1 species